rnacentral:rRNA from 1 species
AUUGAACGCUGGCGGCAGGCCUAACACAUGCAAGUCGAGCGGAUGAGUGGAGCUUGCUCCAUGAUUCAGCGGCGGACGGGUGAGUAAUGCCUAGGAAUCUGCCUGGUAGUGGGGGACAACGUUUCGAAAGGAACGCUAAUACCGCAUACGUCCUACGGGAGAAAGCAGGGGACCUUCGGGCCUUGCGCUAUCAGAUGAGCCUAGGUCGGAUUAGCUAGUUGGUGAGGUAAUGGCUCACCAAGGCGACGAUCCGUAACUGGUCUGAGAGGAUGAUCAGUCACACUGGAACUGAGACACGGUCCAGACUCCUACGGGAGGCAGCAGUGGGGAAUAUUGGACAAUGGGCGAAAGCCUGAUCCAGCCAUGCCGCGUGUGUGAAGAAGGUCUUCGGAUUGUAAAGCACUUUAAGUUGGGAGGAAGGGCAGUAAGCUAAUACCUUGCUGUUUUGACGUUACCGACAGAAUAAGCACCGGCUAACUCUGUGCCAGCCGCCGCAGUAAGAC